ACGAGACUAAAGGUCAACAAAGAGCUGUCUUACAUCGCAUAUAGCUCUUUAUUUAUGAGAUAUAUUGGAUGCUAUUAAUCUUUUCCUCAAUCUAGUAAUUGAUAAAUCGUAUACUAUUUUGGUUGUUGGUAAUUAAUUAAUCAUUGGUCGAGGCCUAUGAAGUAAAAUUCCAAUGUUUGACAUCAUAGCUCGAAUUUAUUGAGUAUCAAAACCUUUAUAUUGAAUGGAAAAAAGCUGUCAAUAUUUCAAAUAGUUAUCUGGUCUGUCCUGUGUAAAAGCUGACAUGUAAUGGAAAAGUUGAUGGCCCAGUACUUGAAUUAUUAACAGAGUUGAAAAUGUUGUGCAGUUUGCAUCAAUUGUGAUAAAGCAACCGUACGGCAAUUGGAAAUUUCAAUUCUUGACCAGCACCCUUCAGCAAACAACACCAAAGAUACUGAAUGUACAAGAAAUCAAAUUACUGAAGGUGAAGAUGAAGAUCAUCAUCAGUAUUUCGAUGGUCGCCGAAUACAUAGAGUGCCCCACGUAAUGCGAUUCAAGAAACACAAUGAAGAGGAUCCCUACGCACCUAAGAUUGUUUCUGUUGGGA
rnacentral:lncRNA from 1 species